CCUAUGCAUGCCUUCUCAGACAUAAGCCCUGAAUCAAACAUACUACCAGGUCUGUUGCAUAGGAUUUAUGCCUAAGUGUACUAUAUACUGGAAGUGGGCAGGAAACUGAUCGAGAACUUGGAAAAUAUUAAAUACUGAAAUAUCUGCUCAGUCUUUACAUCAGACUAUUCAAAUUCGAAACUAUAUAUUAGGUUCUAAAUCUGCUGCUGACAAAUGCAGCUUCCCAUGAAAUAUAAAACCACCAAUAUCAAUUUGGCACCGAAGAGCAGGAAAGCUAAGAGCAUGUAGCCCUGAAUGGUGCCAGGACAAGAGACCACAGGGAGUCCCACGAUAUAAGAACUAAAAAGAAAGAAUGUUACAAACUACACAGAAUGAUGUAACGAAAACAGGAGCAGGAGGGAGAGGAAGGGAAGAAGAAGGAGGAAGAACUAAGGUUGGGGUAUGCAGUGCAAGAAGCAAUGAAAAUAUGUCAAGGUUGAGGAGGUCCCAGUGGGCACCCUCGGAAGUGCAGGCUAGUGAAGCAAUAGAGAAGUAAAAGGGAUUUGGUAGUUCAUGCCUUACUUAUUUCAAAUCCAAAACAGCAGGAUGGCAUGUAAGCUCGAGAUGGGGCGCUGAAUAUCAGCCCACAAAAGUAGUAUGCAAAACAUGCCAGUGCAAAGUGUGGAGAAAUUAGCCAACUCAUUCAAAGGUCCCAGUAAAUGGCCUCUCCCAUGUUGGUAUGAAUAUGAACAUGUAGGACAAAGAGCCACCCACUGUGCAUGGAUAAAACAAUAUAGUUGUU